rnacentral:rRNA from 1 species
UGGGGAAUCUUGCACAAUGGGGGAAACCCUGAUGCAGCGACGCCGCGUGAGCGAUGAAGGUUUUCGAAUCGUAAAGCUCUGUCCUAUGGGAAGAUAAUGACGGUACCAUGGGAGGAAGCCCCGGCUAACUACGUGCCAGCAGCCGCGGUAAUACGUAGGGGGCGAGCGUUGUCCGGAAUUACUGGGCGUAAAGGGUUCGCAUGCGGCAUGGCAAGUCCGAUGUAAAAGGCGAAGGCUCAACCUUCGUAAGCAUCGGAAACUGUCAAGCUUGAGUGAAGGAGAGGCAAGUGGAAUUCCUAGUGGAGCGGUGGAAUGCGUAGAUAUUAGGAGGAAUACCGGUGGCGAAGGCGACUUGCUGGACUUCAACUGACGCUGAGGAACGAAAGCGUGGGUAGCAAACAGG